CCAGGAGCCCAAGAACUUAAAGUACUAA
rnacentral:piRNA from 1 species